rnacentral:rRNA from 1 species
GAUGAACGCUGGCGGCGUGCCUAAUACAUGCAAGUCGAGCGAACAGACGAGGAGCUUGCUCCUCUGACGUUAGCGGCGGACGGGUGAGUAACACGUGGAUAACCUACCUAUAAGACUGGGAUAACUUCGGGAAACCGGAGCUAAUACCGGAUAAUAUAUUGAACCGCAUGGUUCAAUAGUGAAAGACGGUUUUGCUGUCACUUAUAGAUGGAUCCGCGCCGCAUUAGCUAGUUGGUAAGGUAACGGCUUACCAAGGCGACGAUGCGUAGCCGACCUGAGAGGGUGAUCGGCCACACUGGAACUGAGACACGGUCCAGACUCCUACGGGAGGCAGCAGUAGGGAAUCUUCCGCAAUGGGCGAAAGCCUGACGGAGCAACGCCGCGUGAGUGAUGAAGGUCUUCGGAUCGUAAAACUCUGUUAUUAGGAAAGAACAAAUGUGUAAGUAACUAUGCACGUCUUGACGGUACCUAAUGAGAAAGCCACGGCUAACUACGUG